AGUGAACGCUGGCGGUAGGCCUAACACAUGCAAGUCGAACGGCAGCACAGUAAGAGCUUGCUCUUACGGGUGGCGAGUGGCGGACGGGUGAGGAAUACAUCGGAAUCUACUUUUUCGUGGGGGAUAACGUAGGGAAACUUACGCUAAUACCGCAUACGACCUACGGGUGAAAGCAAGGGAUCUUCGGACCUUGCGCGAUUGAAUGAGCCGAUGUCGGAUUAGCUAGUUGGCGGGGUAAAGGCCCACCAAGGCGACGAUCCGUAGCUGGUCUGAGAGGAUGAUCAGCCACACUGGAACUGAGACGCGGUCCAGACUCCUACGAGAGGCAGCAGUAGGGAAUAUUAGACAAUGGGCGCAGGCCUGAUCCAGCCAUACCGCGUGGGUGAAGAAGGCCUUCGGGUUGUAGAGCCCUUUUGUUGGGAAAGAAGAGCAGCAGGUUAAUACCCCGCUGUUCUGACGGUACCCAAAGAAUAAGCACCGGCUAACUUCGUG
rnacentral:rRNA from 1 species